AAACGGAGGGUGCUAGCGUUGUCCGGAAUUACUAGGCGUAAAGGGCACGCAGGCGUUCUCAUAAGUCGGUUGUGAAAAGUUCCUGCUUAACGGGAGAUUGUCAAUCGAAACUGUGAGAAUUGAGAACAGAAGAGGAGAGCGGAAUUCCUGGUGGAGCGGUGAAAUGCGUAGAUAUCAGGAAGAACACCGAUGGCGAAGGCAGCUCUCUGGUCUGAUUCUGACGCUCAGGUGCGAAAGCGUGGGUAGCGAACGGGAUUAGAUACCCCGGUAGUCCACGCUGUAAACGCUGGACACUAGGCACUGGCCUUUCGGUCGGCGCCGCAGUUAACACGUUAAGUGUCCCGCCUGGGGGGUACGGUCGCAAGGCUGAA
rnacentral:rRNA from 1 species